CCUUCACAGAAGAAGCAGCAGAUAAAAAAAAAAAAAAAGCACAUCAGCGCAUGCUUAAAUACAAAGUAUCAUUCAGUAUAUACUCUCAACAACAAGUAUUUCAGUCAUAUUUUUUCACUUUGGUUAAUGACAACAAAUCCAAACUCUGGAUUAACUAUCAAUCAUGGCUAAUAUUGUAUGCGUAAGAUAUGAGAAACAAACACUUACUAAAAUGAUAUUUAAAAUAUUAUAGAAUUUACUCAUGAUUAAACUUGUUGAAAUGCCACUUAAGAUUUUCAAAAACUUUGUUCAGAAAGGGGGAGAAAAAAGAUUUUUCACCCUCUCCUGUGUUGAGUAUCACUUCCUUUCUUAUAUUUUAUGUAUAAAACAUAGUCCACAUCAACAUCUAAGUGAUUUGGUACCUGCCUCCUCUAUCCUAGCCAUAAUUUACAGUUUGACAUGAAUGUUGAAGCAGGUAUAAUAAAUGAUACAAAGAAAAGAAUCAGCUAAAAAUUGAUAUUUGGACCAACAUUUCGAUUUGUUGGGUCAUUACUCAUUAGACCUUCCUAGCUGUAACUUGUAGCAUUGGAUCUUUGAAUAACUAUAUGCAUGCAAAAUAUUUUCUAAAAACCAAACUAGCAGAAUUAAAGCACUCUCUUUUCUCCAAAAUUUAAGAAUUACCAAAUCAAUCUCUUAAAUGAAAUAUCUUAAAUCAAAGAAAGCCAACCAGCAAAAAUAAAUAAAAGUAUAAAAGAAAGAUGAAAACGCAAGCAUAUCAAGCCUACACACUCAGAAUAGAUACAAUGAAAAAUUUAAACAUACACAUUGAUAGUUUUUCAAGAAACACUCAAUAAAUAUGCACUUAUUUUUCUUAGGAUCACCAUUUAUAAAAUUAACAAACUGAGUUCUUUCUGCAAAUAUUCUCAUUCCAAUUUUUUUUUUUCCCUUCAACAGGUAAGAUCUUUCCUACAAGUCCUUACCUUAUAUCAGCGCAGACGUGUGAGCCUCUGAAAGCAAAUUGCGGUGAUCAUUAACUAUAAAACCAUCACUAGAUGUAUGAUGCACAACAAAUGCAACUUCCAAGACUAUUAACAGAUAACCACAUGCAUGCCAAAGCAAGGCAAAAAUAUUUCUAACCACUUCUUAGUUCAGUUCUUUUUCAGCUUAUUUUGAUGUAACAAAUGCAAAUGUGAAAUCAUUGACUCCUCAGAUUAUUAGAUAAUAAUGCUUCCAGGGUUCCAAAGUAUUUCCCUACCUGCAUAAUUAAAGUAUUUCAAGGAGACAUUUUUUUUCAUGCAUUCACAUAAAACUACUUAACUCCCAACAUUGUUGCUCUACUCUUUAGUUUUGAAGCCUGAAACAGAAGAUAGUAGAUACUGUUGAUGUAGGAAGAUAACAAAAACUUGAGAAAAACUUCUGAAGGGCACAAAUAUUAAGAGAAACAAAAUUACUAAAACAACGACAACAACUACUAAGCUUUAAUCCCAAACUAGAUGGGGUUAGCUAUAUGGAUCCUUUUUCACCAUUUAGCUCUAUUAGACACUAGAGCAAUUUAUUCUUUAUGCUUCAAAAUAUAAAUAUAUGAGUAUAUUCAAGUAUGCUGCACAUGAUUAUAGCAGGAUGGUGGAGAAGUGAGAAAGGAAUCUUAUAAGAUUAAGAUUGCAGAAUUACCAAAUAAGUUGAAGAAGUUUUAAAGAACUCUGAUUCAACUGAUUAUAAUGUAUGAAGAAUGUUAGAAAGUGAAAAACCAUAUAUGAAAAAUUAGUUAACAGAUAUGAAAAUGCUAAGAUGAAUGUACAUAAAUAAAAUGAUGUAUUGGAUAAGAAAUGAAUGCACUCAUAAAAAGAUGAAGUUGGCACCAUUGAUAAAAAGUUCAAAAAAGGGACAAUGUGUUGUUGAUAUGGUUUGAUAAUGUGCAUCAUAGACCUACAAAUGCAUCAGCAUAGAAUGUUAAGCAUAUUGAAGUGGCAGGAGAAAAGAAAUCAAGGGAUAGAUCUAGGAUGGCGUUUAAGGCUGCGGAAAGUAAGGAAAAAGGAUUUAGUAAUUACAAGCCUAGGAAACUUAAACCAAGUCAAAUGGAGGAAAAAGAUUAAUCUGGUCAAUCUCAACUAGUUGGAGGUUAAAAUUUAGUUGAUUAUAUUGCACAAAUAUUCCUCAAAACUAUCAUAUGGCAGUAUGUAGAAAACAAGCUAAUCUUAUAUUCAUGAGGGAGAAAUGCUAGUACACAAGUGCUCCUGUAAGAGGAACAGCUGGACUGGAGUAAGGACCAACUAAAAAAGCUAGAUGAGAAUCCUAUUCCUCUUUCCCCACAGUACAAGCAACAAAUUAAAAGAACAGUGUACCCAAGUACUUGAACCUAAAUGCACUGAAAACUAAAAGCAAAGAAAAAUUUUCCAGCACAUAAACUCAUCAUUCACAUCUAGUUUUGAAUUACUUCAAUUUCCCUUUUAAAAAAUUUUUAUCAUGGCCUUUAAAAGCUAAAAGGUGAAAUUUUACGAUUGCAGACAGAAUUGGGGAUACUAGAAAUAACAUUAAUUUUAAGAGAAAAAAUAGGAGCAUGGAUGCUGGGAUAGAGGGCAGAAAAAAAGGAGGAAAAAAAAAACA
rnacentral:misc_RNA from 1 species